AAGUCGUAACAAGGUUUCCGUAGGUGAACCUGCGGAAGGAUCAUUAUUGAUAGAACUUUUCCAAGUUUCUUCAUAUUCCCUGUUUAUAUCAACUACGUUUCUUCCAUCGGACAGGUCUUUUAGGACCCUCUAGCUUGAGUAAAUGCACUUGCUGGGGAGUUGCCGGUGGCGUUUCUAAUAAAAAACUUUUUGUCAAUCAUGAACUGUCUGAACUACUUUCAAAUGAAAUAAAACUUUCAACAACGGAUCUCUAGGCUCUU
rnacentral:misc_RNA from 1 species